UCCCGUCUCCAAAAAUCCCCUCGCAGCGGCCAUCGCACGCCGCCGCCGCCGCCGAUAACAGAGUCUCGGCUGCCGGCUCCCCGCAUAUCUCCGUCUCCCUGGAAGUCCGGAUCUCUCCGACGUCCCUAGCACGCCGGCUCUCCCCACCCAUGUGGUCUCAUCUCUCCCGGACCCAGAGAUCCUCUCCAGUCCAGAAUUCCUCACGGAAGGCACCUGCUCACACCGGCUGGGGGAGAGAAGGUUGGCCGCCCCUGCUUGCGGACGCAUCGGAUCUACGUCCCACGUACGCGCGGCGCCGGUGGAGGAGACAGCCAGCGCGGAUACAAUGAUGUGGAACAGUUGCUGCCGUGGUCCUCAUCCGCCCUUAAUUUCAAUUUCAAGGCAAUGUACUGAUCACGAAUUUGAUAUUAUGAUGCUCAUGGCUAACAUGUUGGCUAAGGAGUAUGGCUUCUUGGUCUCUACAAUCCAUGGUCCCCACAAGGCCCGUAGCAACGCACGGGCAUAUGUACUAGUAUGAACCUAACUCAGGAAGGUCAAAGCGGCCUACACGAGAAGUUCAACAUGGCAACGGGCGAAGCAACAUGGCAACUCCAAAGCUGAACCUUCAGAGAUGAACACACCUCAAGAAUAUUUAAGGUGCCCUUCACGGCAGGCACCAUGACUUCUCACUACACAGUUGUAUUUAGCACACCAUUAGUAACAGAUCAUCAAGAAUCUGCAGUUUCCAAAUAUUGGACUUCAACGAGAUUUUUACAGUGCCAGUAAGGCAGUAGCAACUUGUAAUCAUCUCUGACAGCAGUGAGUCACUUAGUUCGCACCCCUCGACGGCGGCGGCCAGCGCGGCGGUGCUGUCAAGCACGGCUGCCUUGAACAGCAGCAGGCUCUCCGCCGCCCCAUCCAACUGCAUCAGAUGCACGUUCUUCGAAUCACCUGAAAUAGCACCCCUAGCAAUCAUUAUCAUUUAUAAACCGGCGAAGUAGGCAGCAAGAGGAGAGGAGGAGCGACCAGAUCAGGUCGCGGUGGCGCAAUGGGCAGGUCGCGGGGGCGCCAUGGGGCAGG